GAUGAACGCUGGCGGCGUGCCUAAUACAUGCAAGUCGAACGAUGAAGAUUAAAAGAUUUCUUCGGAAUGAACUUAAUUGGAUUAGUGGCGGACGGGUGAUUAACGCGUGAGUAACCUGCCUUGUACAAGGGGAUAGCCGUUGGAAACGACGAAUAAUACCCUAUGACAUCAAAUAAUCGCAUGAUAAUUUGAUCAAAGAUUUAUCGGUAUAAGAUGGACUCGCGUCUGAUUAGCUAGUUGGUAGAGUAAAAGCCUACCAAGGCAACGAUCAGUAGCCGGCUUGAGAGAGUGUACGGCCACAUUGGGACUGAGACACGGCCCAGACUCCUACGGGAGGCAGCAGUGGGGAAUUUUGCACAAUGGGGGAAACCCUGAUGCAGCGACGCCGCGUGAUUUAGAAGGCCUUCGGGUUGUAAAAAUCUUUUGUAUGGGAAGAAAAUGACAGUACCAUACGAAUAAGGACCGGCUAAUUACGUG
rnacentral:rRNA from 1 species